rnacentral:rRNA from 1 species
ACCAUCCUCCAAGGCUAAAUACUCCUGACUGACCGAUAGUGAACCAGUACCGUGAGGGAAAGGCGAAAAGAACCCCGGCGAGGGGAGUGAAAAAGAACCUGAAACCGUGUACGUACAAGCAGUGGGAGCCUCUUUUAUGGGGUGACUGCGUACCUUUUGUAUAAUGGGUCAGCGACUUAUAUUCUGUAGCAAGGUUAACCGAAUAGGGGAGCCGAAGGGAAACCGAGUCUUAACUGGGCGUUAAGUUGCAGGGUAUAGACCCGAAACCCGGUGAUCUAGCCAUGGGCAGGUUGAAGGUUGGGUAACACUAACUGGAGGACCGAACCGACUAAUGUUGAAAAAUUAGCGGAUGACUUGUGGCUGGGGGUGAAAGGCCAAUCAAACCGGGAGAUAGCUGGUUCUCCCCGAAAGCUAUUUAG